UUUUUUUGAUGCUUGCUUCGCGCUGAUAGUAGCAAAUGAAGCAACAACAUGCUUGGAAACGAACAGGCACCCAUAUGAAGCAGGCCACAACUGUCUUGAGCUCUUAGCAUCAAAAUUGCAAUGUACUCAUUUGACAGGGAGAAUGACAUCAAGGUUCUUCUGAAACAGCCAACCUCGGGGAUACGCAAGGCCACUAGCAUCCAAAUGAAGAUGCCAACUCAAUAUCCUUGAACAGCCCAGAGGAACACCAUCCAUUUGACUUUCAUCUUCUACCAUUUGCUCUAUGAAUGUGGUCUCUUGGAAGCCCUCCUUCGUUGUGUCUAGCUGUCGAAUUGGAUGCGAAGAGUGGCGCUGCCAUCUCUUUGGGUCCCACAAGAUAGUGC
rnacentral:misc_RNA from 1 species